CAAUAGCGUAUAUUAAAGUUGUUGCAGUUAAAAGCUCGUAGUUGGAUUUGUGGCAGUCGCGUGCGGCCCGACACUUGUUGUUGGUGCUUGCUUGCGUCGCCAUCCUUGGGUGGAACCUGUGUGGCAUUAGGUUGUCGUGCAGGGGAUGCCCAUCGUUUACUGUGAAAAAUUAGAGUGUUUAAAGCAGGCUUAUGCCGUUGAAUAUAUUAGCAUGGAAUAAUAAGAUAGGACUUUGAGUCUAUUUUGUUGGUUUGCGAGUCAAAGUAAUGAUUAAUAGGGACAGUUGGGGGUAUUCGUAUUUCAUUGUCAGAGGUGAAAUUCUUGGAUUUCUGAAAGACGAACUACUGCGAAAGCAUUUACCAAGGAUGUUUUCAUUAAUCAAGAACGAAAGUUAGGGGAUCGAAGAUGAUCAGAUACCAU
rnacentral:rRNA from 1 species